UCCCUGGUGGCUCAGACGGUAAAGUGUCUGCCUACAAUGCAGGAGACCCAGGUUCGAUACCUGGGUUGGGAA
rnacentral:tRNA from 1 species